rnacentral:rRNA from 1 species
GCCGUCCCAGUUCGGAUUGCAGGCUGCAACCCGCCUGCAUGAAGUUGGAAUCGCUAGUAAUCGCGGAUCAGCAUGCCGCGGUGAAUACGUUCCCGGGCCUUGUACACACCGCCCGUCACACCAUGAGAGUCGGGAACACCCGAAGUCCGUAGCCUAACCGCAAGGGGGGCGCGGCCGAAGGUGGGUUCGAUAAUUGGGGUGAAGUCGUAACAAGGUACC